rnacentral:rRNA from 1 species
UGGGGAAUAUUGCACAAUGGACGAAAGUCUGAUGCAGCAACGCCGCGUGGAGGAUGACACAUUUCGGUGCGUAAACUCCUUUUAUGUGAGAAGAUAAUGACGGUAUCACAUGAAUAAGCACCGGCUAACUCCGUGCCAGCAGCCGCGGUAAUACGGAGGGUGCAAGCGUUACUCGGAAUCACUGGGCGUAAAGCGCGCGCAGGCGGCUUUGUAAGUUGGAUGUGAAAUCCUAUGGCUCAACCAUAGAACUGCAUCCAAAACUACUUAGCUAGAGUCUGGGAGGGGAAGAUGGAAUGUGGG